UGCAAGUUUGGUAAAAGAUCAAAAUAGCAGCAUGUUGUGUAAUGUGAACAGCUUAGAAUAUUCUGUGUGAAAAAUGAAUAUUCUAUAAAACCCUAUCUAGAUUUCAAAUUUUAAUAAA